rnacentral:rRNA from 1 species
GACAGAGGGUGCAAACGUUGUUCGGAAUCACUGGGCGUAAAGCGUGUGUAGGCGGCUUUGCAAGUCGGAUGUGAAAGCCCCGGGCUCAACCCGGGAAGUGCACUCGAUACUGCAGGGCUCGAGUAUCGGAGAGGUUGGUGGAAUUCUCGGUGUAGAGGUGAAAUUCGUAGAUAUCGAGAGGAACACCGGCGGCGAAGGCGGCCAACUGGACGAUCACUGACGCUGAGACACGAAAGCGUGGGGAGCAAACAGG